CACAUUUGGUAUACCUUCUCCUAAAUUGCCAUGGCCAUGUGACUCUGUGUACUCACACUUGUACUGAUAGAAAGAUGUUGUAGGUGAAGGAAGUGCCGCAUCAGGUUGUGCUACUGAUUGUUCGAGGUUAAUCUCCAACUGAUUCAGCUGUCAUGGUAUUAAAGGGUCUUCUUAAUGUUGCAUAUUUGAAGAGCUACAUGUACAGGUCCACUUAAAGUAUCCAAAUCGCUCUCCCCUACCUCCCUUCUAUGGUUCUACCCAAGUUUAUGUUUGUUCUAAUUAUUCUGGAAAAAAGAAAAAAGAAUUGGAUGUUCUCGAUAAUGCCUUGUGAGCAAAAUGACUUUUAGUUGUUUCUUAAGCUGAUAUUUUGUUUGGUUCCUAGUUUAUUCUGCCUGGUGAACCUAGCAUUUGCAGUUUCACGGAGAUAUCAUCAACUCCUUUGGUUUCAAAGGUAAAGGAAAAAAAUUGCACAAAUGCAGGUAUGCAAUCAAAUUUACUUCUUUGGAUAGGAUUGUAUUCUCAUGCUCUAUUUGCUCUUAGUUUUCAGCAUUCUUCAUUUAGGUGAUUACUACUGUACUUAAGUAUAAAUUGUUUAGGUGUUUUCACAAGUAUUUGAAGGAGCUAUAUUGCAAUAAUGGACUCUAUGGAAUAGACUACAUAAAGUCCUGACCUAAUUCACAACAUUAUAUCUAGUUAUGGAUGCAUAUUCUUCGUGUGACAACUCUUUUCUCUUUCUUUUCAACCGGUCCUUGUACUGAAAUCUUCGUGCAACAUUCUCUCUCCUAUGAUAGCCAUUGUAGCUCCCAACCGAGCGAUUACUGUAUCAUGUCAUUGCUGGAUAUGUAGCUGAUUUAGGCAGGCGAGCGCGAGCAAUGCACUGAGUGCCGCUCUCCACAGCUCUGGUUGGUACCUGUCUCCCCCCUAUACCGGCCUCCCUUUUGACAUAACCAUUGCAUUCUUGGCAUCUGAAGCAUGUUACAUGGUGCUUUUUAAUAAUCCUGUUCAAUUGUAUGAAUGAAUAAACAACAAUGUGCCUUAGGCAGUGCAAGCCUCUCUGCAUCAAUGAUUCAAAACUGAUCCAUUGCUGCAGCUAAGCAAAGGAGAAGACUUUUGCAAAUUAAACGCCCAGCACAAACAAGCAGCUAGACUCGUGCAUUCUUUGGGAUCUUCUGACAUUUCCCAUUGCUUAAGUACUAUGAAGCACCAACAUUUCUACGAAGGAGCCGUACCCGUGUCGUGUCUAUGUUGGAUACCAACACACAUCAAAUACUCUUUGGAUACGUGUCCGAAACUUCGUAUACGUGGUUGUAAAUAAAAAUAAAUUUUUAUUUUUUAUUUUUUUAUUUUGGAUAGUGUCCGCCAACAUUUAGGCUGACGCUUUCAAAUAUUUCUAAAACAAGUCCAUCUAGUAAUCUUGAAAAUAAUAUGAACAUAUUAAACUUUUUUCUUUAAGAAAAAAUUUAUAUUAUACACACAUGAUCACAAGCAAAACAUUGAACGAGUGAUAUUUGUUCAUUUAAAAUAAAUACACAUUAUGACAAAGUAGUGGAAUAAAUACUGUAGAUAUGAUAUAAAAAUCAUUACAACUCUCAGAAUAAAAUUAAUAAUGAAUUAAAGUUUUAUAAUAUUAUUAAUCAAUAUAUAUAUAUAUAUAUAUAUAUAUAUAUAUAAAUAUAUAAAUAAAUAUUUAUAUUUAUAAAUCAUACACGUGGGCUUCGUCCUACUUUUUUAAAAUUUAGCGUGCCAAUGUAUCCAUACUCCUUAAGUAACAUAAGCCAUCUGCACUGCCAAGACGUUAGAAUAAUAGUCAUGGACACCCCCUAGACAUGAGUUCAAUUCAUGGUCAUGUCCAAAAUUUAAAAAUAAGUUUUUUAAUUUCAAAUACUUGUCCCGGCGACCGAAGCCCCGGUGAACGGCGGCCGUAACUAUAAUGGUCCUAAGGUAGCGAAAUUUCUUGUCGGGUAAGUUCCAACCCGCACAAAAGACGUAUUUUGAACAUUUGGUCAACACAUUCAAUUACAUGGCAGCGUGGAGACUGAAGACAAACAUAUACCAAAGCGUUAAAACCUUUUUUUUAAAAAAAAAAAAAAAAAAUACCCAAAAACAAAAGAGAAUGACAUUAAACCGAUGUCACCUAUAUAAUAAACUAAAGCAUGACAACAUAGGAUGGUAAUAUGAUAUACAAUAUUUUUUAUAUUCAAAUAUCUCUAUAAUGACAACGUAGGAAAGUAAUAUGAUAUUUUAUAUUUUAUAUUUUUUUAAUAUUCGAAUAGCUUCAUCGGGUAGUACUUACAUUGCUUACAAUUUUUUAAAUCACAAAUAGUAAUAAAUGAAUUGUGACACUGAAAGUUAACACAUUCAGAUUAUAUUUAUAUAAAUAGAAAUGACAUGUCAUCAAUUAUAAUGAUAACAUUAUUUUCCACUCUCAUAAAAAAAUUCUUUGUAUUUGACUCUCAAAUUAUAUAUCCGCUCAUUUUCCUAAAUAAAGACUUCUUAUUUGUCUUUUUAAUUUUAUUUUAGAUCUCUCACUUUUGAGACAAUUUCACAUGGUACGGUCAACUUUUUUUUUUUUUUUUUUUGACUUGGGCCACUUCCAUAUGCUAGUCAAGUUAUGUGAUGUUCGUAGAAUGGCCCGCCAAAAAUGAUGGUGUAAUGGGCUUCGACUUUAGAAAAAUUACAAUGUUCAUUACUAAGGGCCUGUUUGAGAGGUGUUCUAUUGUGUUUUGUAAUGUUCCAGAUCCGCUACAGUAACUCACUUUGAGAACAAAAUAUAUUUAGGCCGGCCUGUGUUGGUUUCAACAAUGCUAGAACAUUUUCUAAAAAUGAGCCAAAAGUUGGAACAUCAAUUUGGUGUUCUGGAUUGUUCCAAAUAUCUAGCCGGCCCAAAAAUCACUGGGUGCAACAAAUGCACCCACUAUUUGAGAACAUGUAUAAAGAGAAAUUGGGUACAUGUUGCAGGGCUAGGGUUCUCGCGCAGUUGAGGCGAUUAGGCGACUCCAGUACGGCUGAUGUCUUCUACAAAUCGACGACCCUAUUUCAUGAUUGGGCUUGAAAUCGACGACUGUGUCUGAAGAUCUGAAGAGCUCUCCCUUCAUCGCGUCUCUCUCUACUCUCGGAUUAUCUUCUCUCUUCUCCGGCUGAUUUACCCCAACGAGAAACGCUUGCAGCCGUCUGCAACUUCCAGCUAGCUCCAGUCUUCUUCUUCGGCGAUGGAUUGACAAGAAAAUUUCCAGAAUCUCCCCAAGCUCUCUACCUCUAUUUCCUCAUCUCUCUCAUCUCGGGUAUGUUUUAGUUUUUCUAGGUUUGCUUUAUGCUUUCAAAUCAUACUUAAUAACAAUAAUGUUGAAGCAUUUUAUCAAUCAACGAAGAUGAUUCCUCAUCUUAACAAAUAGGCAUGAAAAUGAGAUUCACAUUGAAGAAGGUAAUAGAUUUAGGAAAUAUAACAGAGAAACAAACUUCAGUUUUCUAAAAUUUUUAAGAACUAUUACAAAUAAUAUAUCUCUGACUGAAUAGGAUAUCCGUAAUUUGUUUGUACGCAUUACCUUGAUUGGCUCUUUGAUUUCUAUCUGUAGAAUACUAGCCUACUCUCUGAUCAACUAGAGUUAUUUUAUAAUUUUGUUUUUAAUUUUUUUGAGAGAAUUUUUAAUCAAUAUAUGCAUGUUUGAAAUCGGUAUUUGCAAUCAAUUCAAUAAAAAGAGUUUUGCAAAAAUCUGCGUAUGUGAAGUUAUAGGCUGUGGAUAUGAAGUUUUUUUUUAAUGGACUGAGUAGAAUAUUGCUCUAUUAGUUAAUGUCUAUGAUUUUUUUUCUUUUUCCCUUCCUCCAUACUUUACAUAUGUAUGUUAAUACUAUAUAUAUCAUACACACAAAUUCAAAUUUUUUUUUUUUUUGUUUCUGUGUUUGUCUUCAUUUAGUUGAUAGAAACCAAGAAGGGAUCUUUCCCAUGUAGCUAAAAUGAAUACUUUCAAAGGAAAGGAUUAAGGUUCAGUGGGAAGAAUCCAUAUGUUGGUCAAUUAGAAUGUUAUUUGAAUUGGUUUCUUUUGAUGAACUUACAUAGUUACAUGGUUAUUAGUUGCUUAGAGUUAUAAUGAAAUGAUUGCUUUUUGAAUCCUUAAAACUUUACCUCUGAUUAUUGUGAAAAGAAAAGCACCUUAAUAAAAUAGAAUUUACCUUAUUGUUUUAAAACAUCUUACAUAAAUCAUUGGCUUGCACUCUAUUUUUAAUGCAUGAAUUAUUGAAACUACUGAUCAGAAAAUCUUACAUAUGAAUUGGUAAAGUUGUGACUUCCAAUAAUUUUCUACAUUUGUGCUUUUAUGAUAUUAUUCAAUUCUGAUUGAAAAUAAGGUUUGGAGAGUAUGUUUUAGUUAAGCUUUUGUUCUUAUGCAAACAAGUAAUUACAAACAAAAAUUUAGUCAUGGUAUGUAGAUUUAUUAGAAAACUGGUUCAGCUGAUGUGUAGUAAUCUAGUAGAUGGGAUAAGUUCCUAUUUUCCUUUCUAUUUUGGGUCUGCAGUGUGGUUCUUGUGUGACCCUACUUGUUGCUAUUAGUACUUGUUGCUCUUAGUAUAAAUUUUUUUUGUUUUAUAUCUUAGUUGCGGAAUAUAUUCAUGUUUAAUUUGAAUUAGAAAAUGUGGAAUCUGAAAAAAUCUUUGUAUUUUAGUGUUAACAUAAUGAAAAAUAUUGCCAGAUCGAUUAGUAACAUAGGACAAAGACAAAAUAUUUUUAUUUUACUUUGUUUUUUAGUGUUAACAUAAGACCAUGUUGCAAUUACCACAUAUGAUAGUUUAAAAAAGAAAGAUAGAAGAAUGUCACUGAACAUGCAUAAUUUAUGGGACAGCUGUUGUUAAUGACCCUUUUAAAACUAUGUAAUUAGAUGGAUAUGAAUGGUGAGAAUGUGGUUGGAGAAGAAAUAGAGGACCUUACAGACAAUACCGAUGAUGGAAAACUAGUAUGGGAUGAUUCUCAGCUCGAAGCUUUCAUCAUCUGUAUGGAGGAAGAAGUGAAAGUUGGUAAUCAGAGUAGCGAAACUUUUUGCCCUGCUAGUUGGAAGAAUAUAGUAAAAGGCAUAAGGGUCCGUACAGGGAAGAAGUAUGAACUGAAACAACUUAGGAGCAAAUUCAACCACGUGAGGGUAUAGUACAAAGCCUUUGUGAGUUUGUUAACAGAAACAGGCGUAUGAUACAAUGCUGAGACGAGCAUAGUUAUAGUUGAAAUAGAAAGAUGGCCUAGAUUGAUGAAGGUUAGUUAUUCAAAUAAAUGUAUAUUUAUUUGAGAAAUGUAUACUUAACCUAAUAUUAAUAGUACUUUAAUAAUUUGUAGGUGAAUGCCUAUGAUGGUAAGGUUCGAAAGAAGGGAUGGAAGCAUUUUGACAAGCUCACCACCAUAUUUGGAGGCACACACGCUUCAGGUGCACAUGUCCAUGCUUCGACUAAUCCACCCAUUAUCAACUAAGCCCGCGCACACCAUGCAGCCAUACAUAGCUCAUUUGAAAUUGAUGAUUUACCUCAGUUAGGAGGUCAUGAGAUCAGUCCCUCUCCUUAACCUCGUGGUAAGAAACCAAAGAAAGAGAGUUUUGCCUCCACAAUGAGCGAUGUCAUGCGUGAAAUGAAAGAUAUUGAACGAGAGAAAUGUGAUCGAAUUGAAAGGGCCUAAAAGAAGCUUCAUCAUCUAAUAUGAAAAUAGUCCAUGAAGAAUGUCAGGUUGAAGUAAAUUAUCCGGACAAGACAAAAUGUGAUUUUAAGUUAUGUUGUAGUAUUUUGAAUAAGUUGGAGGGCGUUGAUAUGAAACAAUAUGCUAAGGUCACCCAGAUGUUACGUAAUGAUGAAGUUUGGAGGAAGUUCUUUCUAAAUGGCUUUCCUGAUGAUAAGAGGGUUGGUUGGAUUAUGAAUCUUUGAUUUGGUGUGUUGCUUUUAUUAUGACUUUGGAUGAUUGUACUAUUAAGUAUACUUUAUUUGGUUUGUUACUUUUAUUUCUUAUUUGGUUUUGUUAUGACUUUGGAUGAUUGUAAUAUUAAGUACACUAGUAUUUAUGUUAUUGGGAUGAUUAUAAUGACAAUAUCAGUAUUUGGCUUGAGAUGAUUUUAUUUGCUA